rnacentral:rRNA from 1 species
ACUCGAGUGGCGAACGGGUGAGUAACACGUGGGUGAUCUGCCCUGCACUUCGGGAUAAGCCUGGGAACCUGGGUCUAAUACCGGAUAGGAGCCAUUUUUAGUGUGAUGGUUGGAAAGUUUUUCGGUGUAGGAUGAGCUCGCGGCCUAUCAGCUUGUUGGUGGGGUAAUGGCCUACCAAGGCGGCGACGGGUAGCCGGCCUGAGAGGGUGGACGGCCACAUUGGGACUGAGAUACGGCCCAG